UACGGAGGGUGCAAACGUUGCUCGGAAUCAUUGGGCGUAAAGCGCGCGUAGGCGGCGAAGCAAGUUGGAUGUGAAAGCCCUGGGCUCAACCUAGGAUGUGCAUACAAAACUGCUUCGCUUGAAUCUCGGAGGGGGUCAGGGAAUUCCCGGUGUAGAGGUGAAAUUCGUAGAUAUCGGGAGGAACACCAGUGGCGAAGGCGCUGACCUGGACGAUGAUUGACGCUGAGGCGCGAAAGCGUGGGGAGCAAACGGG
rnacentral:rRNA from 1 species